rnacentral:misc_RNA from 1 species
UCGAAUGAAACUAGAGUCGGUUGUCGCUGGCCCUCUUUACCGGGGGGCAUGUGCACGCCUUCUCUAUUCAUCCACACACACCUGUGAACUCGUGAGACGGACAGUAGUCCUUUAGGGGGCGAGCUCCGUCUGCUAUACAUAAACUCCAGUAUAUAAAAUUGAAUGUCAAUCGAUGUAACGCAUCUAUAAAC